rnacentral:rRNA from 1 species
UACGUAGGAGACGAGCGUUGUUCGGAAUUACUGGGCGUAAAGGGCCAGUAGGCGGCCAACUAAGUCCGACGUGAAAUCCCAAGGCUUAACCUUGGAACUGCGUCGGAUACUGGAUGGCUUGAAUUCGGGAGAGGGAUGCAGAAUUCCAGGUGUAGCGGUGAAAUGCGUAGAUAUCUGGAGGAAUACCGGUGGCGAAGGCGGCAUCCUGGACCGGCAUUGACGCUGAUGAGCGAAAGCUAGGGGAGCAAACGGG